GUCAUAUGCUUGUCUCAAAGAUUAAGCCAUGCAUGUCUCAGUACAAGCCAAAUUAAGGUGAAACCGCGAAAGGCUCAUUAAAUCAGUUAUGGUUCCUUAGAUCGUACCCACAAUUACUUGGAUAACUGUGGUAAUUCUAGAGCUAAUACAUGCAAACAGAGCUCCGACCGGAGACGGAAGGAGUGCUUUUAUUAGAUCAAAACCAAUCGGUGGCGGGUUCGCUCGUUAUCGUACAACUUGGUGACUCUGAAUAACUUUACGCUGAUCGCACGGUCAUCGCACCGGCGACGCAUCUUUCAAAUGUCUGCCUUAUCAACUGUCGAUGGUAGGUUCUGCGCCUACCAUGGUUGUAACGGGUAACGGGGAAUCAGGGUUCGAUUCCGGAGAGGGAGCCUGAGAAACGGCUACCACAUCCAAGGAAGGCAGCAGGCGCGCAAAUUACCCACUCCCGGCACGGGGAGGUAGUGACRAAAAAUAACGAUACGGGACUCAUCCGAGGCCCCGUAAUCRGAAUGAGUACACUCUAAACCCUUUAACGAGGAUCA
rnacentral:rRNA from 1 species